rfam:Camelus ferus unplaced genomic scaffold scaffold128, whole genome shotgun sequence.
AAGGGUAUAGUUCAAGUGGUAGAGCACAUGCCUAGUGCACAAGAGGUCCUGGGUUCAAUCCCCAGUACCUCCU